GCAGUGGUGGUUCAGUGGUAGAAUUCUUGCCUUCCCACGCAGGAGGCCCAGGUUCGAUUCCCAGCCAAUUCA
rnacentral:tRNA from 1 species